GCCUGCUGUAGGCUAUUUUGGCUUCCCCUCUCACUCAUUAUGCAGGGUCAGCCCUGGUUAGUACUUGGGUUGGAGACCGCCUGGGAAUACUGGGUGCUGUAGGGU
ensembl:rRNA 5S_rRNA 5S ribosomal RNA